AUUGAACGCUGGCGGCAGGCCUAACACAUGCAAGUCGAACGAGUGGCGGACGGGUGAGUCAUGUAUGGGAAACUGCCUGAUGGAGGGGGAUAACUACUGGAAACGGUAGCUAAUACCGCAUACCAUCGGAUGUGCCCAAAUGGGAUUAGCUAGUAGGUGGGGUAAAGGUUCACCUAGGCGUCGAUCCCUAGCUGGUCUGAGAGGAUGACCAGCCACCAUGGAACUGAUAGACGGUCUAGUAUAAUACGGGAGGCCGCAGUGGGGAAUAUUGUACUAUGGGCGCAAGCUUUAUGCUGCCCUGCCGCUUGUAUGAAGAAGGCAUUGGGGUUGUAGAGUGCUUUCAGCAUGGAGGCGGUACCGGCAGCAGAAGCACCGGCUAACUCCGCGCCAGCAGCCGCGGUAAUUC
rnacentral:rRNA from 1 species